rnacentral:rRNA from 1 species
UACGUAGGGUGCAAGCGUUAAUCGGAAUUACUGGGCGUAAAGCGUGCGCAGGCGGUUAUGCAAGACAGAGGUGAAAUCCCCGGGCUCAACCUGGGAACUGCCUUUGUGACUGCAUGGCUAGAGUACGGUAGAGGGGGAUGGAAUUCCGCGUGUAGCAGUGAGAUGCGUAGAUAUGCGGAGGAACACCGAUGGCGAAGGCAAUCCCCUGGACCUGUACUGACGCUCAUGCACGAAAGCGUGGGGAGCAAACAGGAUUA